rnacentral:ncRNA from 1 species
GAUUUAUAAAGAAGUGGUGAGAGAAUAGGCUCUAAGACCCACUGGCAACCUCACAAAGAUUGUGAAAGGUGCCAAAUCCUACCCCGAAAAGGAAAUAUAAAUA